rnacentral:lncRNA from 1 species
AGUGUUUUAGUUUGUGAAUUAGAAAUAUUAACCACUGCCCUGCCUAUUAAUUAGAAAAAAUACCAAAAAUAGACUAUAUAAAUACAGUUAAAAUGCAGCAUAAACACAGGGGUUAUUAUAAGACACUGGACAGGAUACAGUCUGAGAAAACAGAAAGGGCUUAACGUUUAUUUAUUUAUUUAUUUAUUUUUUAGGAAGAUUAGCCCUUAGCUAACUACUGCCAGUCUUCCUCUUUUUGCUGAGGAAGACUGGCCCUGAGCUAACAUCCGUGCCCACCUUCCUCUACUUUAUACGUCUUCCGGUGGGUUGCACUACUAGAAAAGGCCAUUAACGUGCUUGCAAAUGGUUAAGGUUAUUAAAACCACAACUAAAACCUCUGAUGUUUUAAGUGUACAAAUUUAAACCAGUGAAUGGAGAGCAAUGUUUAAGAACUGUAAUGUUGGGUGGGAAGAUAGAACGUAAAAACUGAAGGAGAUAGGCAUUUUAUUUCAGUGGUUGAGAGGGCGUUGGGUGGGAUUGCAAAAACUCUCUGCUAAGACUUUUUCAGGUGAACAUAACAGACUUGGCCAAGCUAGCAGCUUAGCUGAAGCAGAUUCUCCAGCAGUGCCCUUCCAUAGGGUUGUAAAAGGUUUUUCUUUUCCUGAGAAAACAAAAUCUUUUGUUUUCUCAGGUUUUGCUUUUUGGCCUUUUCCUAGCUUAAAAAAAAAAAGCAAAAGAUGCUGGUGGUUGGCACUCCUGGUUUCCAGGACGGGGUUCGAAUCCCUGCGGCGUCUGUGCUUGACUGUACCCUCUGCCUUCAGGACUCUCCUUUCCGUUUCCCUCCUCCUGUUCAGGAGGCGGCUCUGGAGUCGGGGGAGGGGCAAGCUGCCAGUGGAGGAGUGUCAGCUCGGCUGAAUUGUCAGAGCCUGGAGUCCGUUUGCAUUCACAUGGAAACCGGAAAACCUCAUAUAACUGCCCUGUCUUUCGUUUUCAGGUGUUUCUUGUGCAUCUGGCAUUUAGAGAAGCCUCACUCCUAAAACCUUAAGAUUUCGUAUUAAUAAAAAUUGAAAAGCUCCUCAUUGGUGUGAUUCUUGUGUGUUGUAAAACCAGAUCUGCUGUGAACGUAGGUGGGAGAAGAUGGGUGUUUGGUGGGGGCUCUGCCUUGUUCCUGGGUAACUUGUGGGCUCAUCACAAGCAAGUACACACAGCACAGCGAUGCAGCCUGAACUUCAUAGGGGAGGCACUUGGAGGGGGAAGUGGCGGAGGUAGUGGGUGAGCGACCUCAAAGACCAGUAACAUCCCCACAGAAAAAAAUGGGAACUUACAGGGGAUUGGUGGUUACCGGGGGGUGGGGGGUGGGCACAGAGGGUGAAGUGGUGCACCUGCAACAUGACUCACAAUGUCCAACUGAAAUUUCACAAGGUUGUAAACUAUCAUAAUCUUAAUAAAAAGGAAAAAGAAAUUGGAACUUCCUUUAAGCAGCC